AAUACCGCGUGAGUGAUGAAGGUCUUCGGAUCGUAAAGCUCUGUUGUCAGGGAAGAACACGUGCCGUAUGAAUAAGGCGGCACCUUGACGGUACCUGACGAGGAAGCCCCGGCUAACUACGUGCCAGCACCUGCGGUGACUGAGCGGGCUGGCAAGGCGCAUA
rnacentral:rRNA from 1 species